rnacentral:rRNA from 1 species
UACGAAGGGGGCUAGCGUUGCUCGGAAUCACUGGGCGUAAAGCGCACGUAGGCGGAUCUUUAAGUCAGGGGUGAAAUCCCAAGGCUCAACCUUGGAACUGCCUUUGAUACUGGGGAUCUCGAGUCCGGAAGAGGUUGGUGGAACUCCGAGUGUAGAGGUGAAAUUCGUAGAUAUCGGGAGGAACACCGGUGGCGAAGGCGGCGACCUGGGUGGAUACUGACGCUGAGGCGCGAAAGCGUGGGGAGCAAACAGG